GCUACAUCUGCAGCGCUGAUUUGGGCUUUUUACAGGCAGGAGAAGUAAGGAGCUCCACCGAACCAGAGAAGUGGGAAGUUCAAGGGUUGGUGAGCAUGAAGGAGACCUCGGCAGCCGCGCCCUCCAGGGAGCCUGGGAGACGGCCUCCUCUUCUGAGGUUGCAUUCUGAGUUCCUGGUCCUUGAGAGAUGCUUCUGUGCUGGAAGAGACACCCACUCACAAUCCAGGCCCUCCAGCCAGGACUUGGGGUCAAAGGUGCGGGCAGUCAGCGCCCUCCUGGUCCAUCGUGAGGUAGAGGGAAAUAGCCCAUUACAAAUGAAUUUCUUUGACACGUUUUGAAUUAGAAAAACAAACCUUCUGCAGACACAGUAGUGGCUUUGAAAGGCUGCCCUCUGGUAAGUUUAAAGGAAGUCUGCGUGGGGACCGCAACUGCAGUGGGGGACGGAAACAGCUUCUGUAGCUUCUGCCCACUUUCAACCUGAAAGAUCUUUCCACUGGGGGAGGAGACCUGGGGCAUGCCAUGGCCCAGACACACUGCCACAGGGGCUGGUACCUGGGAGGCCUCCUCUGCCCGGCAAGACGGCGGCCUCCCUCAAGGGGCUUUAACUUUGCCAAGAUCUUGAGCUGGAGAGGAGUUUAUUAAAUUGGUGGAGUCAGCUGGAAACCUGGUCUCACCUUUGAGAUCAAACCCCGAGCUCGUUAGGGUGAAUCCUCCUUUCUCAUUCCACUGAGCACCUUGGGCUCUAAGGGCACAGAUGAGGAACCAGGCAGAGGGCCCUCCCCUGGGCUCUGUCCCCUCCAGUGGUCCUUGGUGGCCUGGAAGGCCUUCCACCCUGAGGCAGUGCUUAAGGGCUGGGCCUCUCAAUGGGUCUGUGUUGGCUCUUCCUUACAGACAGGAGGAGCUGCCCGCCCCAGCAGGUCUCCCUGUUUAGGACAAUCAGUGUUGGUAAAGGAGCCCUUGGGAUGUGCCUGCUCCCCUCUCCCCAGGCGUGCAAGGACCUUCUGAAUGACCAGGCCAAGUCCUGGAGACCUCCUAGACUGCGGUGGACGCCUGAACGGCAUCAGGGGCCAGGUACAAAGGAGGGCUCUGUGCUGACCUGGUGGCAGGCAGUGUAGCGGCCCACGUGGCUCUGGAUGGUCUCCACACAGAAGUGCAAGUGUCCAUUUGACGAGGGAGGUGGCACGUCACUGUGAGGGCUGCUUUCUGGACUGUGACUCACCUGAAGCUCACACAUUCGCAUCCACCCCUGCAGCUGGGAACCAGAGCCUGUUGCUCUGAUGGCUAGUUUCAACCUGAGAAAAACCAGUGAGAGGCUGUUGUGAAAAGGAGAUUCUGAAUGUCCUCUGAGGCAAGACCUUUUGGCCAAGCUAACAAGUAACUGGGCUCCAGCUGCUGAGAACACUGGGCCUGUGCACCUGCAGAGGCCACGGGGAGAGGUCAGGUCAGGCAGCUGCCUCUUGGGGAAGGUCUGGGAACGUGCCAGCUAGAAACCAAGAGGCCCAGGCACGGCUCGCGCUUCCUGGGGAGGGAUCCACCUGAAAGCUGUGGGGAACUGCUUCUUGGUGCUGACACCAAGUCGUGUGUGAGACUAAUGGGUGUCUGUUGGGAUGGAAAAAAGAAGGUUCUAGACCCAUCUUCACCUGGACCAGCCUUGGGCUCUGGAGCAAGUCAUUGGGUCUGAAAGUACAGUGACAGCCUUGACCCUGCCCUGAAGGCGUCAUGGUGUGCACAUGGGGCAAAGUCACCGCUGUGUUCAUAGAGUAUACCAGAAAUAGGGACCACUGUUCUCCUGCGCCCAGAUCCCCUGACCUGCCUCGACUGUCCUUCACUGCCACAUUGAGCCAGUCACUGAGGAUGCACUCCACACUGGGACCCUCUUGCACAUAGUGGCUGGACAAACCCUGCUGAGACUGCCCACCAGAGGGCCUGCACGUGGCCCCUCUGGGGUCCCCUGGUAUGGCAGCUGGAUUUCAGAGGAAUCUUCUCAGGAGGGGACCUUUAGAGGAUAAGUGCUAAAGGAAAACCAGGAGGAACAGCAAGCUCUUAUCCUGCCUACGGAGGGCCACCUGCAGCACUCUCCUGGACCCACUGACUGAGGUGGUCACCAUCGUUCAGAUUCAGAAGCAGGAGACCUGGACUCCCCAUCUCGAUGAGAGGAGUAGCUAAGAAUUUGGAGCCAGCCGUCACAGCUGCCACAGCAGCGGGAGCCUCCCGCAGGCGCUGCCUAGUCCAGGUCAGGCCUCUCGCUGUCCUGCUGCUCUGGCCCAUUCUGCCUCCUGCUCACACGUUUUCCUUUUCCUUUCCUUUCUUUUUGACACCUGGGCUGCCCACUCUGGAGGGACGCUCCUCUGACAUCAGCUAAUUCCUGGGGAGACAUUUACCUGCCAAACAACCAGCCGUCAGUCCACCCUCGCCGCAGCCCCUCUGCCUGUUGGGCUUUCGCACUCCAGUCCAGCCACGCCCGUAGGAGGUUGCCCCUGGCCCAGGCCCUGGGAAACGACACAGCAGCCAAUCCUCUGCGGCCCCCGCCUGCCAAGCCCCGUUGCUGGGGCUCUUCUCCUUGUGACAGCCUUGUCCGUUUGCCUGUCUCACCAUUCCUGAUCAAGACAAGCCCCGGAACCCUGAGGCGACGCCACCAGAGUGCUAUUUCUAGGUGGACACUGAAUCUGUCCCGUCCUGCAGCUGCCUGGGCCAGUCCUGGGCCAGUCCUCCCUGAUCUCCCCUCCCUCAGGUGUGGAUGUUGUUCUGUCCAGUCACGUAUAGUCCCAGGCCCCUCGCCUAGAACAGGUGACCAUGUGGUCACCCACAAACUCCGCCUGCUCUGAGGCUCGGCUCCAGGGCAGCUCAGAUGAUCCAUGGCUGCGGGUCCAGACCUCCCUAUGACACUCUCCACGUCACCUCGUUGUCUACCGUUUACGAAUAAUUCACAGGCGUUUGUCCCCCAGAGGCCAUGGAUCCUUUCUGGGAAGUUGCAAUGUUUCACUGGCUACAGAAUUUAGAGUUGCCCAGAAGAGCUGAUAGUCACUUGACCAAGGGAGAAAGAAGAAAUGUAUUUGAAGGCAGAGGGAAUUUCGUGUGGAUCAAAAAAAAUUUACAAAAUGUCGUCUAUAAAGUUGACAAAUUGCACUUACAUAACACUAAUUAUAGAUGGGGAAUCAUUCUGCAGCAGCUCUACUGACAUCGUGGGCCUGAUCAUUCUGUGCUGUGCAGGUCCGUUCCAGGCAGCAUGGGGCAUCCGGCAGUGCCCUCGCCUCUACCCCUGGAAGCCAGUAACCGAGCUCCCCACUCCCCAACCACCACCAAGAAAACAUGUGUCCAGACAUUGUCAGAAGUUCUCUGGGAGGGCAUAACUGUUCCAGUGGGGAAGCACUGUUUCAGAUACAGAAAAGUCAAAGAAAAAAGAGGAUUGGUAUAUGUUCCUACACACACAUAUAUGAAAGAAAUAUUAAGACAGCAAGAAUUUCAGCGUGCAUGUCCCAAAGUGUGUGUGUAUUUUAAUCUUCUUGUGUAUUGUUUAGAUUCAUUAAUUAAAUCAGUGCAAUAUUCUAUUUCAUACACAUUUUAGAGAAUGAAUAUAUAUAUUUUGGAAUGACAAUAGCACUGGAAGGUGGGGCUGGAGAUGUAACUCAGUGUUAGCCUACAUACGUAGCUGGCUUGUGAGGUCCUGGGUCCGAUCCUCAGCACCAAAAACAUUUUUAAAUGAACACAUAAAUAAAAUGAUGUUGACAUCUAC